GCACGGGUGAGUAACGCGUAUGCAACUUGCCUAUCAGAGGGGGAUAACCCGGCGAAAGUCGGACUAAUACCGCAUGAGCAGGGAUCCCGCAUGGGAAUAUUUGCUAAAGAUUCAUCGCUGAUAGAUAGGCAUGCGUUCCAUUAGGCAGUUGGCGGGGUAACGGCCCACCAAACCGACGAUGGAUAGGGGUUCUGAGAGGAAGGUCCCCCACAUUGGUACUGAGACACGGACCAA
rnacentral:rRNA from 1 species